AAAACGGGUGGUAAUGCCGGAUGCUCCAGUUGAUCGCAUGGUCUUCUGGGAAAGCUUUCGCGGUAUGGGAUGGGGUCGCGUCCUAUCAGCUUGACGGCGGGGUAACGGCCCACCGUGGCUUCGACGGGUAGCCGGCCUGAGAGGGCGACCGGCCACAUUGGGACUGAGAUACGGCCCAGACUCCUACGGGAGGCAGCAGUGGGGAAUAUUGCACAAUGGGCGCAAGCCUGAUGCAGCGACGCCGCGUGAGGGAUGGAGGCCUUCGGGUUGUAAACCUCUUUUAUCGGGGAGCAAGCGAGAGUGAGUUUACCCGUUGAAUAAGCACCGGCUAACUACGUGCCAGCAGCCGCGGUAAUACGUAGGGUGCAAGCGUUAUCCGGAAUUAUUGGGCGUAAAGGGCUCGUAGGCGGUUCGUCGCGUCCGGUGUGAAAGUCCAUCGCUUAACGGUGGAUCCGCGCCGGGUACGGGCGGGCUUGAGUGCGGUAGGGGAGACUGGAAUUCCCGGUGUAACGGUGGAAUGU
rnacentral:rRNA from 1 species